GCGUCCUCUCUGCUUUUGGACACUCAUCAUGGAGACAACCAAUGUCUGCUCCCAGGCUCCUCUUGGACCCGCUGGUUACAUCUAUUACCAGCUUGUGGAUGACUUUCCUCUAGAGGAGGCAUCCCUUCUAUCCACCAACUUCACUUCAGCCAAAGCCUGUCUUUUACCUCUGGUAACAGGCUUGACCGUGGAACCUGGAUUUAAUUUCAAUGUCAAGGCACCGUGUCAGAAAAUCAUGUUUGAGUCUCUGACCGUUAAGCCUACAAAAUACUUCAACCAUGCCAUCGUCUUUCACAACAGUAACAAGAUUCCCCCAAUUUUUCAUGGACGUGGCCUGGAACAGCUCUGUGAGGCCACUAGGCUCAUGUUUGGCUUUUCCAGCUUUAAGCCUGAUGCUUCUAAAGGACAAUGGAAAAGCAGCACCCACCUACCACAAAAUCCAGAAAAAUAUAUUGGCUGGGUAGUGGUGGCGGAGAGUUUUAAAGAGCGCCUGAUCUGUGGGGAGUUGGCCAUGUUGUCAGCACCCAUGAAAACUGUGACCAUAAACAACAAACUCUGCUUCAAAGUACCCCUACAUGAUACCAGAUUUCUAAGCUCUGACCAGCUACUGCCCUUCUAUGAUGAAAAUGUCAGCAGGAUCAUGUAUGAGAGCUACUACACCAACGUGGCCCAAGCUGUGCGCAUUCGAGAUGUCACUGGACUGAUAGAAGCCCUGCAGGAAAGAGCUGUUACAGAACAGUACAAAACAGCAAAAUUGGCAAGUCUGAAAACAUAUCCUGCAGAAAACUGCGGUGCCGGCAACCUAGAAUAUGCUGUCAUUGACGCUGCAGUGUCUGAACUGGCCGUCAGCCACGGUCUUGCUUUCCUGGAAGCACCUCAGGAGGAGUCUCCCAUCCAGAACUAUGUCCAGUGGCCCAUGUUUUCAGAAGAUGCUACCCCAGAAGGAAGAAUUAAAGCCCUCCAGGAAUGGAAUGCCAAGAUGGCCAUCCACGUCCACGCUCAAGUCCUCAGUGCCAACUCUGUCCUGUACGUGACCAAAGUUGGGCAGUCUGCAGGAAAGGCUGUUGGGGGGAAACAAGAUGACAUGUUCCUGGGCCGCUACUAUAUGCAGCAUGGACUGGGCCACCUCAAUGUGCAAACUAGGGAUGAGAACAACACCGUGGUGUUCCCAGGCGUGCCAGAUUCCUGCAUGAAUGGGUCCCAGUACACUGUACAUCAUCUUGCCUAUGCUGCCUCCAUGUCUCCCCAUAUUCUUGCCCGGCUCUGCUACUAUCUUCAGAUGUGUCAAAACCAGCGGCUAGCCUCCACGCCUCAGGGCACUACCGUGCCUGCCUACGUGACCACCACAGCCAACACUUCCAUGUGUGAUCUUUGUGGAGGGGACCUCCCAGCCGUGUGCCUCCACACCCUCUUUUUUCGUCUGAGGGACAGAUUUCCUCAGGUGCUGGCCACGCAGAAGCGUGACCCUUAUGUGGUAACCGGGAUAGCUGGGCCCCACAAUGACAUGGAGAUUCUUGGAAACUUUGGAAGUUUCAAAGAAAAAGAUGAUGACCAGGAGAAUGGACAGAGAUACUCAUAUUGGCAACUAAAUGCCAACUUAACUGAAAGGCUGGAAGAGAUUGGGGUAACAGCUUCCACGCCAGCGUGUCAGCUGAUCACAGACGUAGACUCUUUUUUGACGGUCUUCAAAAAGAUUGAUGCCAUCGUGGACGAGGAGACCAUCAGGUUUAAUGAUGGACUUGUGAGAAAUAACAUCAACUACAAAGAAUCUGUCAAGUCUAUUGCCCACGUGCUACAACUGCAGUGUAACACCAACUGGCUGCCACCGUGCCCAAUCAUCCAUAACCUAUUUACCAGGUCCUUCUUCACCAUACUCCAGGACAUGUCAUUCCCUCUCUGUGUCACCCACCACACAGAAAAUCCUCUCAACUAUGGGACAGUCAGUACCUGGAUGUCCAACCAUUUCCAGAACCUAUGGAGCAACUUCAAGUCUAUCUGGUUUGACAAGGGGCUGCUCACUUGCAGUGACAUGCGAGUAGUCCACACUGAAACCAGCUCUGAUAUGGAAAACCUGGCUGCAGACCUCCCCAAGCAAAGAUGCGCCAUUAGAUUGUCCAGAGCCCAGAUCUUUGCGCCCAAGGCCCUGAAGAUAAAAAACAGGAUCAUCUUUUCCAACUCUUCCAGCACAGAAUCCCUGUCUGCCAGCUUCGUGAAAGCUGGGAAGGCAGAGAACCCCAUCACUGCCGGUCCCUACAUGCACUUCCUAACACAGCUCCAUAAACAGCUGUUCCCCACAACCAAAACUGGGGCCUAUUACAUCUGGCAAACCUUCAUGUCCAGCAAAAAACUUCCACAGGCAGGUUCCACCAAUGCUAAAAAACUCUCAGAGUUUAUUUCCUAUCUCAUGACCAGCAGUCUAGCACACGAUGAGGUCAAUGUGCUAGACUACGUACCAACCACCCUCAUGGCCUACGCGAAGCAGCGACUCAACAAUGCCAUCUUGCGGCUAUGUGGGCAAACGCAGUUCUAUGCCACCACCAUAAACUUUCUACAACCCACAAUCCUUUCCAUGCCCAGCCUGGACUAUCCGCAUGUGGCUGGUCCCGUUCCUGUGCAAGAUUUGACAACAUACAUGGACAUGACUCGGGACCAGUCUGCCACAGUGAUCCAGAGCUCAUGCAGAGAAGAUCCAGCCGCGGUGUGUAAGAUGCGCCCCAUCGUGACAAUACCCAUGAUGGUUAACAAAUAUUCAGGCUCUAAUGGGAAUAAUUCUAUUUUUCAAAGUGGUAACAUGGGUUAUUUCAUGGGCAGGGGGGUUGAUAGAAAGUUGUUGCCAGAUAUCCCUAGGAUGAGAAAGCAUGUCAACACCUCUAUGAGGAGAAGAUAUGCCUUUGCUUCCCCCAUGACAGAGAGUCUCUUGACCCAGCCAGGUAAGGGUACUGUCCGCACCUAUCAGCUGGAAAAAACUAGAAAGAUUAUUCACGAUAUCAUAGCAUCUGGGAAUGCUGAGCCUGAGAACCUGGUUUUAGAGUUGGUAAAAUGUUUAGGGCACGAAUGUGCAACACUAACUUCAGAUGAUGUGGAAUUCUAUCUGGGAGAGUUUUCAUUUAUGGUGAAUGAUGUCAUGGAGGUUCUCGAAACCUUGAAGGCUUCGGGGUGUGCCUUCAGUGAGGAGAGCGUACAGGCUUUGCUUCCAACUUCAAGUCCAGGUACAUCAGAGUCAUUUGUAGAAGUGACAGACAAUAUUAUAACUAGUCUUCCAGAAAUUUCUGUUACUCAGUUCACUGCUGCUCCCCCAAAACGCAGACGCAUUGCUACUUUUGAGGAUAUAGAUUUAUAAUGUCUAAGGAAGUGGCUGUACUCUAUGCUCAAAUUUAUGGAUUAUGCAUGGACCUCAGCCUGGUACCAUACAUGGACCCUAGCAGCCUAAAUCUUAGAUCCAUCUCCAAUAAUUAUCACAAGCUCUGUCAGAUUCAAAAAAUAAUUGGUGGCCAACUUCUAGAAAAUAAUACCCAAACACCUUGCGCUCUCACGCUGGAACUUGAACACUUGCUCUGUAAUGCUGUAGAAUUGUGUAAAAGUGUACUCUCACAUGAAAAUACCUAUGAUCAUGUACUCUGUAGCAAACAGUGUGUUUUGGAUGUUAGUUGCCUUGCCUGCUUCUAUGGUGGAGAUACUGUGGAUAUACCAUUGGACACCAUCAAUAAAAUUGACAUGUUAUUCAAAAA
rnacentral:tmRNA from 1 species